rnacentral:rRNA from 1 species
UACGUAGGGAGCAAGCGUUGUCCGGAAUCAUUGGGCGUAAAGCGCGCGUAGGCGGCCCGAUAAGUCCGCUGUGAAAGUCAACGGCUCAACUGUUGGAUGCCGGUGGAUACUGUCGGGACUAGAGUACGGAAGAGGCAAGUGGAAUUCCUGGUGUAGCGGUGGAAUGCGCAGAUAUCAGGAGGAACACCUAUAGCGAAGGCAGCUUGCCUGGGACGUUACUG